UCCUCCCCCUUUCUUCGUGCUUAACACAUGCAAGUCGAACGGAAAGGCCCUGCUUGCAGGGUACUCGAGUGGCGAACGGGUGAGUAACACGUGGGUGAUCUGCCCUGCACUUCGGGAUAAGCCUGGGAAACUGGGUCUAAUACCGGAUAGGAGCCAUUUUUAGUGUGAUGGUUGGAAAGUUUUUUCGGUGUAGGAUGAGCUCGCGGCCUAUCAGCUUGUUGGUGGGGUAAUGGCCUACCAAGGCGGCGACGGGUAGCCGGCCUGAGAGGGUGGACGGCCACAUUGGGACUGAGAUACGGCCCAGACUCCUACGGGAGGCAGCAGUGGGGAAUAUUGCACAAUGGGCGCAAGCCUGAUGCAGCGACGCCGCGUGGGGGAUGACGGCCUUCGGGUUGUAAACUCCUUUCGCUAGGGACGAAGCUUUUUGUGACGGUACCUAGAUAAGAAGCACCGGCUAACUACGUG
rnacentral:rRNA from 1 species